rnacentral:rRNA from 1 species
GAUGAACGCUAGCGGCAGGCUUAAUACAUGCAAGUCGAGGGGUAGCAAGAUUGUAGCAAUACAAUUGUUGACGACCGGCAAACGGGUGCGGAACACGUACACAACCUUCCUACAAGUGGGGAAUAGCCCAGAGAAAUUUGGAUUAAUACCCCGUAACAUAGCGAUGUGGCAUCACAUUGCUAUUAUAGCUUCGGCGCUUGUUGAUGGGUGUGCGGCUGAUUAGAUAGUUGGCGGGGUAACGGACCACCAAGUCUACGAUCAGUAGCUGAUGUGAGAGCGUGAUCAGCCACACGGGCACUGAGACACGGGCCCGACUCCUACGGGAGGCAGCAGUAAGGAAUAUUGGACAAUGGACGCAAGUCUGAUCCAGCCAUGCCGCGUGAAGGAUUAAGGUCCUCUGGAUUGUAAACUUCUUUUAUAAGGGACGAAAAAAGGUCUUUCUAGAUCGUCUGACGGUACCUUAUGAAUAAGCACCGGCUAACUCCGUGCCAGCCGCCGCCGUAACAC